AGAGUUUGAUCCUGGCUCAGGAUGAACGCUAGCGGCAGGCCUAACACAUGCAAGUCGAGGGGUAGUUAUCUUCGGAUAAUGAGACCGGCGCACGGGUGCGUAACGCGUAUGCAAUCUACCUUGUACAGAGGGAUAGCCCAGAGAAAUUUGGAUUAAUACCUCAUAGUAUAUUUUUAUCGCAUGAUUUAAAUAUUAAAGAUUUAUCGGUACAAGAUGAGCAUGCGUCCCAUUAGUUAGUUGGUAAGGUAACGGCUUACCAAGACAAUGAUGGGUAGGGGUCCUGAGAGGGAGAUCCCCCACACUGGUACUGAGACACGGACCAGACUCCUACGGGAGGCAGCAGUGAGGAAUAUUGGACAAUGGGCGCAAGCCUGAUCCAGCCAUGCCGCGUGCAGGAAGACGGUCCUAUGGAUUGUAAACUGCUUUUGUACAGGAAGAAACACUCCCUCGUGAGGGAGCUUGACGGUACUGUAAGAAUAAGGAUCGGCUAACUCCGUGCCAGCAGCCGCGGUAAU
rnacentral:rRNA from 1 species